GACGAACGCUGGCGGCGUGCUUAACACAUGCAAGUCGAACGGAAAGGCCCUGCUUGCAGGGUACUCGAGUGGCGAACGCGGGAGUAACACGUGUGUGAACUGCCCUGCACUUCGGGAUAAGCCUGGGAAACUGGGUCUCAUACCGGAUAGGAGCCAUUUUUAGUGUGAUGGUUGGAAAGUUUUUUUGGUGUGGGAUGGGUUCGCGGCCGAUCAGCUUGUUGGUGGGGUAAUGGCUUACCAAGGCGGGGACGGGUAGCCGGCCGGGGAGGGUGGCCGGCCACAUUGGAACUGGGUUACGGCCCAGACUCCUACGGGAGGCAGCAGUGGGGAAUAUGGCACAAGGGCGGAAGGCCGAUUCAGGGACGGCGGGGGGGGGAAGACGGCCUUCGGGUUGUAAAAUCCUUUCGCUAGGGACGAAGCUGUGUGUGACGGUACCUAGAAAAGAAGCACCGGCUAACUACGUG
rnacentral:rRNA from 1 species